UACGGAGGGGGCUAGCGUUGUUCGGAAUUACUGGGCGUAAAGCGUACGUAGGCGGUUACUCAAGUCAGAGGUGAAAGCCCGGGGCUCAACCCCGGAACUGCCUUUGAUACUGGGGAUCUCGAGUCCGGGAGAGGUGAGUGGAACUGCGAGUGUAGAGGUGAAAUUCGUAGAUAUUCGCAAGAACACCAGUGGCGAAGGCGGCUCACUGGCCCGGAACUGACGCUGAGGUGCGAAAGCGUGGGGAGCAAACAGG
rnacentral:rRNA from 1 species